rfam:Camelus ferus unplaced genomic scaffold scaffold376, whole genome shotgun sequence.
GAAGGUAUAGCUCAAAGUGUUAGAGCAGAUGUUUAGCAUGCAGGAGGUCCUGGGUUCAAUUCCCAGUACCUCUU